rnacentral:rRNA from 1 species
GGAUUAGAUACCCUGGUAGUCCACGCCGUAAACGAUGCUAACUCGUUUUUGGGGCGCAAGCUUCAGAGACCAAGCGAAAGUGAUAAGUUAGCCACCUGGGGAGUACGUUCGCAAGAAUGAAACUCAAAGGAAUUGACGGGGGCCCGCACAAGCGGUGGAUUAUGUGGUUUAAUUCGAUGAUACGCGAGGAACCUUACCAAGACUUAAAUGGGAAAUGACAGGUUUAGAAAUAGAUCCUUCUUCGGACAUUUUUCAAGGUGCUGCAUGGUUGUCGUCAGCUCGUGCC